rnacentral:rRNA from 1 species
UACAGAGGGUGCAAGCGUUGUUCGGAAUUAUUGGGCGUAAAGCGCGUGUAGGCGGCUUUGCAAGUCGGGUGUGAAAGCCCUGGGCUCAACCCAGGAAGUGCACCCGAAACUGCAUUGCUUGAGUACCGGAGAGGGUAGCGGAAUUCCCCAAGUAGAGGUGAAAUUCGUAGAUAUGGGGAGGAACACCGGUGGCGAAGGCGGCUACCUGGACGGAUACUGACGCUGAGACGCGAAAGCGUGGGUAGCAAACAGG